UACGGAGGGUGCGAGCGUUAAUCGGAAUUACUGGGCGUAAAGCGCAUGCAGGCGGUUACUCAAGUCAGAUGUGAAAUCCCCGAGCUUAACUCGGGACGGUCAUUUGAAACUGUGUAACUAGAGUCUUGUAGAGGGGGGUAGAAUUUCAGGUGUAGCGGUGAAAUGCGUAGAGAUCUGAAGGAAUACCGGUGGCGAAGGCGGCCCCCUGGACAAAGACUGACGCUCAGAUGCGAAAGCGUGGGUAGCAAACGGG
rnacentral:rRNA from 1 species